rnacentral:tRNA from 1 species
GUCCCCGUGGCACAAUUUGGAUAGCGCGGCGCCCUCCUAAGGCGCAGGUUGCAGGUUCGAACCCUGCCGGGGACGCCA